rnacentral:rRNA from 1 species
AUUGAACGCUGGCGGCAUGCUUUACACAUGCAAGUCGAACGAAGCCUUCGGGCUUAGUGGCGGACGGGUGAGUAACACGUGGGAACGUACCUUUUGGUUCGGAACAACUCAGGGAAACUUGAGCUAAUACCGGAUGAGCCCUUAGGGGGAAAGAUUUAUCGCCGAAAGAGCGGCCCGCGUUAGAUUAGCUAGUUGGUGAGGUAAAGGCUCACCAAGGCAACGAUCUAUAGCUGGUCUGAGAGGAUGAUCAGCCACACUGGGACUGAGACACGGCUCAGACUCCUACGGGAGGCAGCAGUGGGGAAUCUUGCGCAAUGGGCGAAAGCUUGACGCAGCCAUGCCGCGUGAAUGAUGAAGGUCUUAGGAUUGUAAAAUUCUUUUACCAGGGACGAUAAUGACGGUACCUGGAGAAAAAGCCCCGGCUAACUUCGUGCCAGCCGCCGCAGUAACAC